CUAAGUUUCGUUUUAUGUCUUUUGGUGGAUUUCUAGCACUCCUAACUUGAUCUAUAUGAUGAUUUAAACUUGUCUAAUCAACUCUAACACUUACUAAACCAAAUCCCUAAUGAUUUAGCAUCAAUCUACACUCAAAUUUCUCAAUUUCAUCAACUUAUCUACCCAAAUCUAAUUCUACUAGUUAGAUACUGUUUUUACCACUUUUAAGACUUCUAAUAAGUCACAAUUGACUCAAUCAAAUUGUCCCCACUGUCCACUUACACCCUAGAUCUCAAUUACUCAAAAACACUCUCUCACUUCCUCUAAACUCACUAAAAACACUAGUUUUUCCUCAACUUAAGGGCUCAAUUCUAAAUUUAUCACUUAAGGACUGUUUUUGUUCAUUUUGACACUUCUAACAAGUCAUAUUUGACUUAUCUAUGUGGUCUGAACUGGUCAAGACUCUUUAUGACUCCAACUUCCAAAUUUGACUACCUUAGUUCCCUUAAUAUAGCCUAAAACACCUUGAUUUACCUAGCUUUUCCUUUAAGAUCUUUCACAACAGAAUUCUACUUCCUUUUAACACUCUACAAUUCUCAUUGCCUCUCAUCCAAUCUACUUUAUUAGCUAACACCCACAGAAUCAACAUUUGAAUAUCACAUAGCAAUUUACUCAUACAUGCAUUUUAUCAAACUUCAAUUCAAAAUAGCAAUAUUUCCCCCAAAUCAC
rnacentral:lncRNA from 1 species